rnacentral:rRNA from 1 species
UGGGGAAUCUUCCGCAAUGGACGAAAGUCUGACGGAGCAACGCCGCGUGAGUGAAGAAGGUUUUCGGAUCGUAAAACUCUGUCUUUUGGGGCGAACGUGAGUAUGGUGAACAAUCAUAGUCAGUGACGGUACCAAAGGAGGAAGCCACGGCUAACUACGUGCCAGCAGCCGCGGUAAUACGUAGGUGGCAAGCGUUGUCCGGAAUUAUUGGGCGUAAAGAGCGCGUAGGCGGGAUAGUCAGUCUGUUGUAAAAGUGCGGGGCUCAACCCCGUGACGGCAAUGGAAACAGCUAUUCUUGAGUGCAGGAGAGGAAAGUGGAAUUCCCAGUGUAGCGGUGAAAUGCGUAGAUAUUGGGAGGAACACCAGUGGCGAAGGCGACUUUCUGGACUGUGUCUGACGCUGAGGCGCGAAAGCCAGGGGAGCGAACGGGAUUAGAUACCCCGGUAGUCCUGGCCGUAAACGAUGGGUACUAGGUGUGGGAGGUAUCGACCCCCUUCCGUGCCGGAGUUAACGCAAUAAGUACCCCCGCCUGGGGAGUACGGUCGCAAGACUGAAACUCAAAUGAAUUGAC